rnacentral:rRNA from 1 species
AGGAACUUCCACAAUGGACGCAAGUCUGAUGGAGCAACGCCGCGUGAGUGAAGAAGGUUUUCGGACCGUAAAGCUCUGUUGUUGGUGAAGAAGGAUAGAGGUAGUAACUGGCCUUUAUUUGACGGUAAUCAACCAGAAAGUCACGGCUAACUACGUGCCAGCAGCCGCGGUAAUCGUAGGUGGCAAGCGUUGUCCGGAUUAUUGGGCGUAAAGCGAGCGCAGGCGGAAGAAUAAGUCUGAUGUGAAAGCCCUCGGCUUAACCGAGGAAUUGCAUCGGAAACUGUUUUCUUGAGUGCAGAAGAGGAGAGUAGAACUCCAUGUGUAGCGGUGGAAUGCGUAGAUAUAUGGAAGAAUACCAGUGGCGAAGGCGGCUCUCUGGUCUGCAACUGACGCUGAGGCUCGAAAGCAUGGGUAGCGAACAGGAUUAGAUACCCUGGUAGUCCAUGCCGUAAACGAUGAGUGCUAAGUGUUGGGAGGCUUCCGCCUCUCAGUGCUGCAGCUAACGCAUUAAGCACUCCGCCUGGGGGAGUACGACCGCAAGGUUGAAAC